AACGUAGGUGGCAAACGUUAUCCGGAUUUACUGGGCGUAAAGAGUGCGUAGGUGGUUAUUUAAGUCAGAUGUAAAAUCUCCUGGCUCAACUGGGAGGGACCAUCUGAUACUGGAUAGCUGGAGUACAGCAGAGGAAAGUGGAAUUCCCGGUGUAGUGGUGGAAUGCGUAGAUAUCGGGAGGAACACCAGUGGCGAAAGCGGCUUUCUGGGCUGUUACUGACACUGUUGCACAAAAGCGUGGGGAGCAAACAGG
rnacentral:rRNA from 1 species